GCAUGGCUGAAUACUGUGUUCUUUUUAUCACUUUGCAAACAGCCAGACACCAUGCAAAAGUAUAGUCUUCCCUUUAAAAUGGUUGUGAUGGUAUUUUAAGUUUUCUUCAUAGCAUAUCAUUAGGAAAGGUGAAUACAAAA
rnacentral:snoRNA from 1 species